rnacentral:rRNA from 12 species
CGGAGGAAGGUGGGGAUGACGUCAAAUCAUCAUGCCCCUUAUGUCUUGGGCUUCACGCAUGCUACAAUGGCCGGUACAAAGGGUUGCGAUACUGUGAGGUGGAGCUAAUCCCAAAAAGCCGGUCUCAGUUCGGAUUGGGGUCUGCAACUCGACCCCAUGAAGUCGGAAUCGCUAGUAAUCGCGUAACAGCAUGACGCGGUGAAUACGUUCCCGGGCCUUGUACACACCGCCCGUCACACCAUGGGAGUUGGGUUCACCCGAAGGCCGUGCGCCAACCAGCAAUGGGGGCAGCGGACCACGGUGAGCUCAGCGACUGGGGUGAAGUCGUAACAAGGUAGCCGUAGGGGAACCUGCGGCUGGAUCACC